rfam:Salmo salar isolate Sally breed double haploid chromosome ssa14, whole genome shotgun sequence.
UGCAGGCAUGACUGUAUGUUGCUUUGGAUAAAAGUGUCUGCUAAAUGGCAUAUA